GAAUAAAUUGCAGACUGAUUCCAUUGUUCAGACAGAUCAACCAGAGACAGUGAUAUCCAGCUCAUUUGUGAAUGUCAAUUUUGAAAUGGAGGGAGACAGUGAAGUAAUUAUGGAAAGCAAGCAAAAUCCAGUCUCUGUCCCACCAUAAAAUGAAAUGACUAUCAAGCUUCAAACUCUUAAGUUUUUUUUUUUUAAUACAAAAACUUUCACAUUCUUUAUUCAGUGGGACUUAAUACAAUUAUUUAUAUUUUAAAUUAUUAAAGUAUCUGGAAAGGGAAAAUGUUUUCUUCAUUUUUAGGAUCUAUCUAGCAAAAGCCAGAUCUGAAAUUCAGAUAUUUGUACUGUUUUUACUGUGUAUAGAAAUUAGUGCUUUGGUUUUAAAAUGAUCUUUUAAAAAAGUUAAGGACAUCCUAGAGCCUUAAUAGUUAAGAAGAGUUAAAUUAUCAAGCCUAUUUGUGCAUUUGCUUUUUUUGAAAAAGGUUAAGUAACUUGUAUUAUCAACUUCUGAUGCAGCUUCCCAAAGCCACCAAUUACCCUAGUUAUGGGCCCAUCAUCUCACCUGGACUAUCAUGAAAGACAGCUCUUGAUUCCUCUCUUAAUUUCUGUAGUAAGACUUCAUCUUCAGCAGGCAGCUGAAAAUACAAGGUCUUUAGACAAACUCAGCCAAGUGUCAACCAGAAAACAUUUGAAUUUACCUGUAGCCUGGAAGCCCCACUUCAAAUUGUCCCACCUUUCUGGAUCAAACCAAUGUAUUUCUCAAAUGUAUUUGAUUGAUGUCUCAUGCCUCCCUAAAAUGUAUGAAACCAAGCUGCACCCAAACCACCUUUGGUACAUGUUCUCAGGAUCUCUUGAAGGCUGUGUCACAGGCCAUGGCCACUCAUAUUUGGCUCAGAAUAAAUCUCUUCAAAUAUU